rnacentral:tRNA from 1 species
GCCUGGGUGGCUCAGUCGGUUAAGCGGCUGACUUCAGCUCAGGUCAUGAUCUCACAGUCUGUGAGUUCGAGCCCCGCAUCAGGCU